CUUUGACGUUAGCGGCGGACGGGUGAGUAACACGUGGGUAACCUACCUAUAAGACUGGGAUAACUUCGGGAAACCGGAGCUAAUACCGGAUAACAUUUGGAACCGCAUGGUUCUAAAGUGAAAGAUGGUUUUGCUAUCACUUAUAGAUGGACCCGCGCCGUAUUAGCUAGUUGGUAAGGUAACGGCUUACCAAGGCGACGAUACGUAGCCGACCUGAGAGGGUGAUCGGCCACACUGGAACUGAGACACGGUCCAGACUCCUACGGGAGGCAGCAGUAGGGAAUCUUCCGCAAUGGGCGAAAGCCUGACGGAGCAACGCCGCGUGAGUGAUGAAGGGUUUCGGCUCGUAAAACUCUGUUAUUAGGGAAGAACAAACGUGUAAGUAACUGUGCACGUCUUGACGGUACCUAAUCAGAAAGCCACGGCUAACUACGUGCCAGCAGCCGCGGUAAUACGUAGGUGGCAAGCGUUAUCCGGAAUUAUUGGGCGUAAAGCGCGCGUAGGCGGUUUCUUAAGUCUGAUGUGAAAGCCCACGGCUCAACCGUGGAGGGUCAUUGGAAACUGGGAAACUUGAGUGCAGAAGAGGAAAGUGGAAUUCCAUGUGUAGCGGUGAAAUGCGCAGAGAUAUGGAGGAACACCAGUGGCGAAGGCGACUUUCUGG
rnacentral:rRNA from 1 species